rnacentral:rRNA from 1 species
AUUGACGCUGAUGCASGAAAGUGUKGGGGAUCAAACAAGGAUUARGAWACCUGGUAGUCCACMCUGUAACGAUGAUAACUCGCUGUCGGCGAWACAUAGUCGGUGGCAAGCGAAAGCGAUAAGUAUCACCUGGGGAGUACGACCGCAAGGUUGAAACUCAAAGGAAUUGACGGGGCCCGCACAAGCGGAGGAACAUGUGGUUUAAUUCGAUGAUACGCGAGGAACCUUACCCGGGCUCGAACGGUGCAUGAAUGAUUCAGAGAUGGAUCAGUCCUUCGGGACAUGUAUCGAGGUGCUGCAUGGUUGUCGUCAGCUCGUGCCGUGAGGUGUCGGCUUAAGUGCCAUAACGAGCGCAACCCUUGUCGUUAGUUACCAUCAAGUAAUGUUGGGGACUCUAGCGAGACUGCCACCGUAAGGUGUGAGGAAGGGGGGGAUGACGUCAAAUCAGCACGGCCCUUACGUCCGGGGCGACACACGUGUUACAAUGGUAGGUACAGAGGGCAGCUACCCAGUGAUGGGGUGCGAAUCUCAAAAACCUAUCUCAGUUCGGAUUGGAGUCUGCAACUCGACUCCAUGAAGUUGGAUUCGCUAGUAAUCGCGCAUCAGCCAUGGCGCGGUGAAUACGUUCCCGGGCCUUGUACACACCGCCCGUCAAGCCAUGGAAGCCGGGGGUGCCUGAAGUUCGUGACCGCAAGGAGCGACCUAGGGCAAAACUGGUAACUGGGGCUAAGUCGUAACAAGGUAACCAAGCCGAAUUCUGCAGAUAUCCAUCACACUGGCGGCCGCUCGAGCAUGCAUCUAGAGGGCCCAAUCGCCCC